UUUAUAAUUUGUUGUGAGGAGAACAAGUCUAAUUCCUUUUCUAUUAAGAGGUAUUUAAGCCUUUGAAGAAAUCUCUCAUGUCUCUCCCCUUUCCCAUUGAGUCUUUUUGUUCUCAAAUUGAAAAUCUUAGACUUUUUUAACUGACCUUUUUUUAGUUUUUUUUUUUUAUUUGAAAACUUUUAUUAAUUAAUUAAUUUAGAUUUUUUACAUGGUUAUAUGAUUCAUAUUCUUUCCCUUCCCUCCUUUCACCCUCUCACAUAACCAACAAGCAAUUUACAUGUGUCAUUGAAUUUAAUUGAUCUUCUUAAAGGAUGAAUUUGAACCCUUUGAAAUUCUUGAUACUCUCCCAUUUAAACUACUCACCCUCACCCCACUCUUAGACAUGAAAGAAGGAAAGGGGAAAGGUCUAUUUCUGAUAUUAUGGGUUUUAAUUCUCCUAAUAGGAUUGUGAAUCUUAAAAUUUCUCAGACUUGUGAAUCUUGGAAAUUCUCAGACUACCUUAGAACAUUUGGUUAGGACCAUUCCCCAUUUUAAAACAAUGAAGUGACUUUGGUCAGGAAGGUGGGAACUCUAGCACUACUACAACCAUACUUGGGUAUGCUUUAGGGAAAUAUAAAGUUGUAAACUCCUUACUGAACAAUGAAAAGUCCCCAAAUCAUACUUAAAGUAAAGCUAAAACCCUUAAGCUGGGUCUAUUUUUAGAUCUAAUACAAAAAGGUGCUAAGUACUUAUAAAGGUCAAAUUAAUCACUAAAAGGUCAAGCAAGCUUAGCAAGAGGUGUGAGGUUUUGGCCUACCCAGAGAAGGUUCACAAGAUGUGAAUUGAGAAUGGUCAGUCCUUUGGAAAACGUCUACUGUGAUUGGUAGACGUUGAAACUUAGGGGAGGUUACAUAGGAGAAAGUUCUCUUUAAAAGGAGGUCAGAAGGCCUCUGAAAGUUAAUUCAAGUUUGGAGCUGAAUUGGAGGUCAGAGGAGGCUGCUGGGGCUCUGAGAGAGUGCAACUUUGGUAGGAUGACAGUUCAGAAGGGAUCUCAAUGGCCAUCUGAUCCGAAUCAUAAGGAAAAAAAUUACUCCACAAUGACUCAUCCCAGAAGUGAUGAACAUCUGAGUUUCUCCGAGUUCCAAAGGAGGAUAUAUCUGAGAGUGGAUUGGAACUCAGGGCUCUCUUUCCCCACAUCCAGUUUUCUCUGAUCAAGUGUGAGAAGCACAUUUGUACCCAUGAUUGGAUUGGAUGGAAGUCUGGCUUGACACUUCACCAAAGGUACAAGACCCUGUGGCAAGUAAAGUGGAGAUGUAGUAUAUUAAAGAUAAAUAAGGACAUUUUUCUUUCAGUGAAUACUUUCUGGAAAUUGUCACCAUGGAAAUCAUUCUACAAUUGAGCAUUUCUAUUUGAAAUAUAAGGGAAAUUUUCAUGUUUAACAGGACACAAACAUUAUGAAGUGUUAAUUUUUGUCAACACAUAGCUUUCUGAUGAACAAAUAAUCAAAGUGCAACUAAAAUAAUUGAAAAAAAAAACAAAAAAUCUAAUGGGAAAAUUUACACUUUUCAUUUAAUAUAUUAAUUUCUUUUUAAGAGUCUGGAUUAGAGAGAAGUUUGUGUUUUCUUGUAUCUGGGAGCUGGAUCAGACACUGUGUUUUUACAUUUCUUUGUCCUUAGUUAUUCUGAGGGAUGUUCUUAUUUAGCAAAAUGUGAUUAAUAAAUGAAGUGGACAAGGAUUCUUUUCCUGUCUAUAGACUCAUCAACACCGGAGGAUGGAAAGUGGUGGACAGGUUAAUAGGCUACCUCCUAGUUAGAUAUUGACCAAUUAGCAAUAUCUUGGGAUGUUCUAGUAUUUAUGGAGUACUUUAUGUUUUGAAAAGCACUUUAAGCACAUCAGCUUGUCUGAUUUUAAGAGCACCCAUAUGAGAGAAGGGCUAUUAUUAUCAUUAUUUAUGAAUGAAUAUACUGAUGUUGAAUGGAAUUAUAGGUUUCGCUCAGGAUUACAUCAUUAGUAAGUGCUUGAGGCAAGAUUUGAACUCACAUCUUUCUGGCUUCAAAUCCUAUACUUUAUUGUCCUGACCAGCAACUACCAUCUGAUGGGGGGUUGAACAAAAUUUUGGUGUCAAAAAGGGGUGCUCAUGAUUGUGAAGGAUAGGAAUCACUGCUCUUUUCCAAAGCCAGUUGAAUCAAGAUGAUGUACGUAAGUUACUUUGCAAAUAUUAUGUCUCUACAUGAAUAGAUCUUUUCUUCUGGGCAGAAUCCUAAAAGGAUGUAUGAAACUUUCAUAGCUUGGGACUAUCACCAUACCUUGAAUCUCUGGAUAAAAGGCCAUAU